rnacentral:lncRNA from 1 species
CGGCUGCAUUACGACACCAGCGAAAUUGAUGAGCAGCUCUACUAUCUCGGUUGUAGCUCGGCGGACGAGAGUAUUUCACUUCUUAUUUCUGCAUUUCUUCCGAAUCUAUCUCCCCACUCAGCUAUGCAGGUGUGUAAGGGGUGAAGUUCUCAAUGGGAGCCGAGACUAUCGCACAGUGCCAGUAGAGAGACACCGAUGAAGUGUCAGUCAUGCUGGUGGCUGGCAGCGACGGCAGAGCAGAGCGUGACAUGCCAGUGUUUUUUCCUGAGGGGAUGUGUGUUUUCUUGGUCUUGGAUCCACGGAGUGAUAGCAGAACGUUCCAUUUAUUCUAUGGUUCUUUCCUUCCCUUCUUAUUUCUGCCACCAUGGCAUGAUCCAGAGCAGGGCGGUGUAACUGGGUGAUUCAACAUCACUGUUAUAGUGAUAGGAAGAGACACCAAGGAUUUUGCAACAAGGGCAAGUAGGAAAACCGUAAAGGUUAUUUUCCCCUUCAUAAUCAACGCAGUUCUCUCUGGCAGUGUUCAAGCCUUAGCAGCAGUCAAUCUGAGUGUUUCUGACUUCUGGCUGAUUUGUUCUUCUUCUGAUGAUGACAGUUGGCAGCUCUCUUCUGGUUUCUUCGGACAGCUCAGUGUCACUUGGUUUUAUAGUGACUGACUUGACUUGCCAUUUCGGGAUCCUAAUUUAUUCGGAUAACCUUCCUAAUAAGUGUUAUUGUAGAUAUUGAGAGAUGCCUGUAGUCUACUAGAGCACUGUCGAGUCGGGAGUCUUGUCAGACCGAGACACUGAGAAUGCAGAGCACAGUUCGUUUUCUAACAGAACAAAGACUGAAUAUACCAAAGCCACUGCAUCACAGAGAAUUGUGCCAAACCAGCCCUGAUAACAGCGUUGAUCACCUCUCCCACGAACAUAACCUUUUAUAAGGACUUUUUGCAUUAUGCACGGAUCAAACAAUGAAGUGAAAUACUCGUCCGCCGAGCCAAAACGAGCUUCACCCGAGACAGUAAAGCUGCUCCGCUGCUUCACUGGUGUCAUAACGCAGCCAUGUUCCUGCCUCUGACUACCAUCGUCCUCACAGAGCCCAGCCUCUCUUCUCCG